rnacentral:tRNA from 1 species
AGGUCGUUAAUUGAAUGGUAAAAUGUUUACCUUACAGGUAAAUCACAUGGGUUCGAUUCCUGAGAAGAUUU